rfam:Salmo salar isolate Sally breed double haploid chromosome ssa13, whole genome shotgun sequence.
AAUUAAUUAAUUUGUAAGUCGCUCUGGAUAAGAGCGUCUGCUAAAUGACACAAA